UUUUUCAUCUCUUACAUCUUCCCUGUGCAUAUUUAGUGUCAACAUUGUUAUGUCUUGACCUAUGAUUAUGAUUCCUUGUGGUGCCAUUGCUUGGGUAAAUAUUUCUUGGUUUACUUGAAUCUGUUCUUACUACACUUGACUUGGAUGCCAUCUUAAACUCUUUUGAUGUCACACUUUUGGAACUCACAGUAAUUCAAUUUAUUGUGACAUCAAAUUCUG
rnacentral:lncRNA from 1 species